rnacentral:misc_RNA from 1 species
GAUGAAGAACGUAGUGAAAUGCGAUAAUUAAUGUGAAUUGCAGAAUUCAGUGAAUCAUCGAAUCUUUGAACGCACAUUGCGCCCGGCAGUAAUCUGCCGGGCAUGCCUGUCCGAGCGUCAUUUCUCCCCUCGAGCGCAGCUUUCCCCCCCGGGGGAGGGCCGCGCCCGGUGUUGGGGCGCUACGGAGGAGCCCAGCGCUCCCCCGUAGGCCCCGAAAUGUAGUGGCGGUCCCGCCGCGGCGCCCCCUGCGUAGUAGUUUUACAACUCGCAUCGGGUCCCGGCGGAGGCCAGCCGUCAAACCCCCCAACUUCAAUAGUUUGACCUCGGAUCAGGUAGGGUUACCCGCUGAACUUAAGCAUAUCAAUAAGCGGAGGA